rnacentral:rRNA from 1 species
GACAGAGGUGGCAAGCGUUGUUCGGAUUUACUGGGCGUAAAGGGUGCGUAGGUGGUUAGGUAAGACCUGUGGGAAAGACCUGGGCUUAACCCAGGAAGGUCGCAGGUGACUGCCUAGCUAGAGGGCGGGAGAGGAGCGCGGAAUUCCCGGUGUAGCGGUGAAAUGCGUAGAGAUCGGGAGGAAGGCCGGUGGCGAAGGCGGCGCUCUGGAACGUUCCUGACACUGAGGCACGAAAGCGUGGGGAGCAAACAG